AGAGGAAUAGCUGGGUCAAAUGAUGGUUCCAUUCCCAGAUUUCCAAGGAAUCUCUAUACUGCUUUUCAAAUUGGCUGCACAAAUUUGCAGUCCCACCAGCAGU
rnacentral:pre_miRNA from 1 species